rnacentral:rRNA from 1 species
GAGUUUGAUCCUGGCUCAGGAUGAACGCUGGCGGUAUGCUUUACACAUGCAAGUCGUACGAAAGUUUUAUUUUUAACUUUAAGUGGCGGACGGGUGAGUAACACGUGAGAAUUUACCUUUAGGAGGGGGAUAACAACUGGAAACAGUUGCUAAUACCACAUAUGCUAUAAAGUGAAAAAAAAAUUGCCUGAAGAGAAGCUCGCGGCUGAUUAACUUGUUGGUAAGGUAAUGGCUUACCAAGGUGACGAUCAGUAUCUGGUUUUAGAGGAUGAUCAGACACACUGGAACUGAGACACGGUCCAGACUCCUACGGGAGGCAGCAGUGGGGAAUUUUCCGCAAUGGGCGAAAGCCUGACGGAGCAAUACCGCGUGAGGGAAGACGGCUUAUGGGUUGUAAACCUCUUUUUUCAGGGAGGAAAUAAAUGACGUGUACCUGAAGAAUAAGCAUCGGCUAACUCCGUGCCAGCAGCCGCGGUAAUACGGGGGAUGCAAGUGUUAUCCGGAAUUAUUGGGCGUAAAGAGUCUGUAGGUGGUUAAAUAAGUCAAUUGUUAAAUAUUAAAGCUUAACUUAAAAACUGCAAUCGAAACUAUUUAACUAGAGUAUAGUAGAGGUAAAGGGAAUUUCCAGUGUAGCGGUGAAAUGCGUAGAUAUUGGAAGGAACACCAAUGGCGAAAGCACUUCACUGGACUAUUACUGACACUCAGAGACGAAAGCUAGGGUAGCAAAUGGGAUUAGAUACCCCAGUAGUCCUAGCUGUAAACGAUGGAUACUAGAUGUUGAUCAGUUCGACCUGCGCAGUAUCAAAGCUAACGCGUUAAGUAUCCCGCCUGGGGAGUAUAUUCGCAAGAACGAAACUCAAAGGAAUUGACGGGGGCCCGUACAAGCGGUGGAGCAUGUGGUUUAAUUCGAUGCUACGCGAAGAACCUUACCAGGAUUUGACAUGAUACAAAUUUUUGUGAAAGCAAAAAGUGCCUUUUGGAAUGUAUACACAGGUGGUGCAUGGCUGUCGUCAGCUCGUGUCGUGAGAUGUUGGGUUAAGUCCCGCAACGAGCGCAACCCUUAUUUUUAGUUGCCAUUUGGAACUCUAAAAAGACUGCUGGUUAUAAACCGGAGGAAGAUGAGGAUGACGUCAAGUCAGUAUGCCCCUUAUAUCCUGGGCUACACACGUGCUACGUUGGAUGAGACAAUAAGUUGCAAUUCUGUGAGGAGGAGCUAAUCUCUAAACUCAUUCUAAGCUCGGAUUAUAGGCUGCAACUCGCCUAUAUGAAGUUGGAAUCGCUAGUAAUCGCUGGUCAGCUAUACAGCGGUGAAUACGUUCUCGGGCCUUGUACUCACCGCCCGUC